CUGGAAUACAGAUUUGCCACAGUACAACAGCUCUUAAGGAAAGGAACUUUUAAAUACUUAAGCAGGCAAUCAAUGCAUUGGACAAUCUACCAAGGAGAAGUCUACAUCUACUGGCUUUUCAGAAAGCAGUCUUAAAUGGUGAAAUAAACAUCCUCAAAUCUGAAUUAAUAACUGAAAGAACUGCAGUCGCUGGAAAUCAAAAACAACAACAGAAAUUGCUAAAAAAAAAUCUCAGAAGGUCUGGUAACAUCUGUGGAGAAAAAGCUUUUGGGACUUCAUACCAUCCCAAAGUAUUUUACAGUCAAUUAAAGAGUUUAGAAGUGUUGCUGUGACAAAGGAAACAAAGGAGCCAAUUUGCAUACAAAACACAAAUAUCUUCUCUGAUGUAAUUUGAGGAAACUAAAGAUCGUCCAGGGGAAACUAAUAUCCAACAGCAACAUCAAGACUGGAGAACACCUUUUGCAAAGGUUGUUUGGAAAACCAAAUAUUCAUCAUGGUUUGUGUAAAACAAAUCAACUGAACCUGAAUGUUUCACCCUCAAAUGGCUGUCUUCUGAACCAACCAAGUCAUCGACCAUUUAUAAAAUCAGAGACUUGGAGGGAGAUGGGAUUGUGAUAAAAUUACAUAUUUAACAUUAACUGUAUAUAAAUUUGGCAAUCAGAAAAUUGUUUGUGGGAGAUAUUGUACAGGCAGCUAAUACCUAAAAGGAUUAGCUGGCAUCACAAGAUAAGUGCCACGCAUUGAGAUAUAAAGGACUGUUUGAUAUCAGUGUUCCUAUUGCUCCAGUGCUAAGUUCCAUAUCGAUAACUAUAAUGUGUUCUUUCUCUCAG